GAUAGAUAAGUUGGAAGUGAAAUCCUAUGGCUUAACCAUAGAACUGCUUCCAAAACUGUCUAUCUAGAAUAUGGGAGAGGUAGAUGGAAUUUCUGGUGUAGGGGUAAAAUCCGUAGAGAUCAGAAGGAAUACCGAUUGCGAAGGCGAUCUACUGGAACAUUAUUGACGCUCAGAUGCGAAAGCGUGGGGAGCAAACAGGAUUAGAUACCCUGGUAGUCCACGCCCUAAACGAUGCACACUAGUUGUUGCCUUGCUAGACAAGGCAGUAAUGCAGUUAACACAGUAAGUGUGCCGCCUGGGGAGUACGGUCGCAAGAUUAAAACUCAAAGGAAUAGACGGGGACCCGCACAAGCGGUGGAGCAUGUGGUUUAAUUCGACGAUACGCGAAGAACCUUACCUGGCCUUGACAUAGAGAGAACUUACUAGAGAUAGUUUGGUGCUAGCUUGCUAGAACUUUCAUACAGGUGCUGCACGGCUGUCGUCAGCUCGUGUCGUGAGAUGUUGGGUUAAGUCCCGCAACGAGCGCAACCCUCGUGUUUAGUUAAUAACGGUUCGGCCGAUGACUCUAAACAGACUGCCUGGGCAACCAGGAGGAAGGUGAGGACGACGUCAAGUCAUCAUGGCCCUUACGGCCAGGGCUACACACGUGCUACAAUGGGGUAUACAAA
rnacentral:rRNA from 1 species